rnacentral:rRNA from 1 species
UACGUAGGGGGCAAGCGUUGUCCGGAUUUAUUGGGCGUAAAGAGCGUGUAGGCGGCCAAGUAAGUCUGCUGUGAAAACUCGAGGCUUAACCUCGAGCUGUCGGCGGAAACUAUUUGGCUAGAGUCCGGAAGAGGAGAAUGGAAUUCCCGGUGUAGCGGUGAAAUGCGCAGAUAUCGGGAGGAACACCAGUAGCGAAGGCGACUACCUGGCCUGUUCUUGACGCUGAGGCGCGAAAGCUAGGGGAGCAAACGGG